GAUGAUGUGUGCUGUCUGUGAGUGUUUCUUUGGCAGUGUCUUAGCUGGUUGUUGUGGCACGUUAUAGAAGUAGCAAUCAGCAAAUAUACUGCCCUAGAAGUUCUGCACAUUGUGUGGCCCGGGAUA
rnacentral:pre_miRNA from 14 species